UGUUAAGUCAGGCAACGAGCGAGACCCACGUCCACAGUUGCCAGCAUCCCUCCGGGUGAUGGGUACACUGUGGAGACCGCCGACUGCUAAAGCGGAGGAAGGAGUGGGCAACGGUAGGUCAGUAUGCCCCGAAUCUCCCGGGCUACACGCGGGCUACAAUGGUUGGUAACAAUGGGCAUCUACCCCGAAAGGGGAAGGAAAUCUCUUAAAGCCAAUCGUAGUUCGGAUUGAGGGCUGCAACUCGCCCUCAUGAAGCUGGAAUCCGUAGUAAUCGCGUUUCAACAGAACGCGGUGAAUACGUCCCUGCUCCUU
rnacentral:rRNA from 1 species